UCCUUUAUUAACUUGGUCAUAUCAAACUCACUUAUAUGUGACUAUGGGAUUGGGUUUGUUUCCCGUUCCUUAUGACUCUGUUAGACUCGGCUUCUUUCUCCUUCGACCCUUGAAAGCUUCUUACGUGAAUUUUCUAUAUGUUCACUCCAUUAUCACCACUCUUUAUCCUUCCAUUUUCUCAGCUCUUGUUUUGAAUGUGGAACAACGUUGCUGAUAUCUACAAUGAUGUCAACAUACAUAGCAGCAUCAAUGCCUACCAAGAUUUAGCAGUGUCAUUGGAUGAACUCAAAACGACAAGUUCCAUUGUCGUUUUGACUUUCUGGGUUUGUUUCCUUUAUUAAUGUUAAUGGAAAUUAUCUGUGUGUUUUUUUAGUAAUUUUCCUUUUAUAUUUUUCUCUCUAUAUAGAUAGAUAGAUAACCCAAAAAAUCGUGACUCCGAUAUAAUUUCGAAUCGAGACGACCAACGCCAUCAUUCUCUAGAUCUGUUCUCGACCUUAUCCAUGAUCAUGUUUGUAUCUAUUUGCUUUCACUUCUUCAUAUGAAAAGCUUGCACCUUUAAUUAUUUCAGCACCAAUGUAUUGAAUAUUGGGAUCUAAUUUACCUUUACUCCAAGUUGGUAGCUGCAGCCUGGUUUUUCUACUUCAAGGUUUCUUUCUUUGAGCCCGAGUGACGGAUAAUGGCCAUCAUUCACCUUAUGAUCUCGUUCAUUCGUAUUUACUACAGUCACUGCUUUGUUGUUGCUCUGAUUCCACAAACCUAG
rnacentral:sRNA from 1 species